rnacentral:rRNA from 1 species
AGAGUUUGAUCAUGGCUCAGAGCGAACGCUGUCGGCAGGCUUAACACAUGCAAGUCGAGCGGGCGUAGCAAUACGUCAGCGGCAGACGGGUGAGUAACGCGUGGGAACGUACCUUUUGGUUCGGAACAACACAGGGAAACUUGUGCUAAUACCGGAUAAGCCCUUACGGGGAAAGAUUUAUCGCCGAAAGAUCGGCCCGCGUCUGAUUAGCUAGUUGGUGAGGUAACGGCUCACCAAGGCGACGAUCAGUAGCUGGUCUGAGAGGAUGAUCAGCCACAUUGGGACUGAGACACGGCCCAAACUCCUACGGGAGGCAGCAGUGGGGAAUAUUGGACAAUGGGCGCAAGCCUGAAGCAGCGACGCCGCGUGGAUGAAGAAGGUUUUCGGACUGUAAAAUCCUUUUCUGUGUGACGAGAGUGGACGGUAGCACAGGAAUAAGUCUCGGCUAACUACGUG